UGAGCGUCAGUCUUUGUCCAGGGGGCCGCCUUCGCCACCGGUAUUCCUCCAGAUCUCUACGCAUUUCACCGCUACACCUGGAAUUCUACCCCCCUCUACAAGACUCAAGCUUGCCAGUUUCAAAUGCAGUUCCCAGGUUGAGCCCGGGGAUUUCACAUCUGACUUAACAAACCGCCUGCGUGCGCUUUACGCCCAGUAAUUCCGAUUAACGCUUGCACCCUCCGUAUUACCGCGGCUGCUGGCACGGAGUUAGCCGGUGCUUCUUCUGCGAGUAACGUCAAUCGCUAAGGUUAUUAACCUUAACGCCUUCCUCCUCGCUGAAAGUACUUUACAACCCGAAGGCCUUCUUCAUACACGCGGCAUGGCUGCAUCAGGCUUGCGCCCAUUGUGCAAUAUUCCCCACUGCUGCCUCCCGUAGGAGUCUGGACCGUGUCUCAGUUCCAGUGUGGCUGGUCAUCCUCUCAGACCAGCUAGGGAUCGUCGCCUAGGUGAGCCAUUACCCCACCUACUAGCUAAUCCCAUCUGGGCACAUCUGAUGGCAUGAGGCCCGAAGGUCCCCCACUUUGGUCUUGCGACGUUAUGCGGUAUUAGCUACCGUUUCCAGUAGUUAUCCCCCUCCAUCAGGCAGUUUCCCAGACAUUACUCACCCGUCCGCCGCUCGUCACCCG
rnacentral:rRNA from 1 species